rnacentral:tRNA from 1 species
GUUAAUGUAGCUUAACCAUAAAGCAAAGCACUGAAAAUGCUUAGAUGGGUACUUAUACCCCAUAAACA